UACGGAGGGUGCAAGCGUUAAUCGGAAUUACUGGGCGUAAAGCGCGCGUAGGUGGAUUAUUAAGUCAGAUGUGAAAGCCCAGGGCUUAACCUUGGAACUGCAUUUGAUACUGGUAAUCUUGAGUACAGUAGAGGGAGGUGGAAUUUCAGGUGUAGCGGUGAAAUGCGUAGAUAUCUGAAGGAACAUCAGUGGCGAAGGCGGCCUUCUGGACUGAUACUGACACUGAGGUGCGAAAGCGUGGGGAGCGAACAGG
rnacentral:rRNA from 1 species